AUUGAACGCUGGCGGCAGGCCUAACACAUGCAAGUCGAACGAGUGGCGGACGGGUGAGUAAUGUCUGGGAAACUGCCUGAUGGAGGGGGGUAACUACUGGAAACGGUAGCUAAUACCGCAUACCAUCGGAUGUGCCCAGAUGGGAUUAGCUAGUUGGUGGGGUAAAGGCGCACCAAGGCGACGAUCCCUAGCUGGUCUGAGAGGAUGACCAGCCACACUGGAACUGAGACACGGGCCAGACUCCUACGGGAGGCAGCAGUGGGGAAUAUUGCACAAUGGGCGCAAGCCUGAUGCAGCCAUGCCGAGUGUAUGAAGAAGGCCUUCGGGUUGUAAAGUACUUUCAGCGGGGAGGCGGUACCCGAAGAAGAAGCAGCGGCUAACUCCGUGCCAGCAGACGCGGUAAUAC
rnacentral:rRNA from 1 species